UACGGGGGGAGCAAGCGUUGUUCGGAUUUACUGGGCGUAAAGGGCGCGUAGGCGGCGCAACAAGUCACUUGUGAAAUCUCCGGGCUUAACCCGGAGCGGUCAAGUGAUACUGUCGUGCUAGAGUGCGGAAGGGGCUACUGGAAUUCUCGGUGUAGCGGUGAAAUGCGUAGAUAUCGAGAGGAACACCUGCGGCGAAGGCGGGUUGCUGGGCUGAUAACUGA
rnacentral:rRNA from 1 species